rnacentral:rRNA from 1 species
AACGCUGGCGGCGUGCCUAAUACAUGCAAGUCGAACGGUCUUUCUAUGGAAGCUUGCUUCCACUGAAAAGAUAGUGGCGAACGGGUGAGUAACACGUGGGUAACCUGCCCAUAAGAGGGGGGAUAACAUCCGGAAACGGGUGCUAAUACCGCAUAGUUUUCUUGAUCGCAUGAUCGGGAAAGGAAAGACGGCCUUUGUGCUGUCGCUUAUGGAUGGACCCGCGGCGUAUUAGUUAGUUGGUGAGGUAACGGCUCACCAAGACGAUGAUACGUAGCCGACCUGAGAGGGUGAUCGGCCACAUUGGGACUGAGACACGGCCCAAACUCCUACGGGAGGCAGCAGUAGGGAAUCUUCCGCAAUGGACGAAAGUCUGACGGAGCAACGCCGCGUGAGUGAAGAAAAGGUUUUCGGAUCGUAAAACUCUGUUGUCAGAGAAGAACAAGUUGGAGAGUAACUGCUCCAGCCUUGACGGUAUCUGACCAGAAAGCCACGGCUAACUACGUGCCAGCCGCCGC